AUACGGAGGGGGCUAGCGUUGUUCGGAAUUACUGGGCGUAAAGCGCGCGUAGGCGGGUUGGCAAGUUGAAGGUGAAAUCCCAGGGCUCAACCCUGGAACUGCCUCCAAAACUGCCAGUCUUGAGUUCGGAAGAGGUGAGUGGAAUUCCUAGUGUAGAGGUGAAAUUCGUAGAUAUAAGGAAGAACACCAGUGGCGAAGGCGACUCACUGGUCCGAUACUGACGCUGAGGUGCGAAAGCGUGGGGAGCAAACAGGAUUAGAAACCCGAGUAGUCC
rnacentral:rRNA from 1 species